rnacentral:misc_RNA from 1 species
AACGCACCUUGCGCUCCUUGGUAUUCCGAGGAGCAUGCCUGUUUGAGUGUCUUGAAGUCAUCAACUCCCCAUGUCUUCUUGGACGUGCUGGGUGUUGGACAUUGGGGGCUUGCGGCCGUGAGGCUGCUCCCCUCAAAUUCGUUGGUUGGGCCUGUGGGUCGAACUCAGCUGGGCGUUGUACUAUCCUCGCUCUGGAUGAGAUGUUCCCUCCUUUGUGUGUGCACAACCUGGACCUGCCUCUUCCCGAGUGCGGUCAAGGAGCAAUUUGCUCCUUUCUCGAAACUCUGACCUCAAAUCAGGUAGGACUACCCGCUGAACUUAA